UCUUGGAACGUUGUUGGCGUUUUCUCUACCAUUUUCUACACAUAUUUCAUUCAAGAAGAGAGGAAAAUCAGAGAAAUCAUUCAUAAUAAGUAAGAAAGUUUAAUGGUUUUCCAUCGCUUCAACACCCUCAAAGCUUUCAUAUCUGGCUUUACAUACUUUCUCUGGACCAAUUGCAUCUCAUUAUGAAGCAUUGAGAUCCGGAUACAUUUGUUUGUUGGCUGAACAAGUACUCAAAAUUACAAUGAAAUUUGGUUGAAGAUUCUUGAUAUUCAAAGUCUCCCAAAGUUUCUGAAGUUCGAGUAUCAGAUCUAAGCUUCCAAAGGCUGAUUAAUUGUUUUGACAGAGGACGAAAUUGCUUGCAUAUACAAUAUCAACAAACUUGUAAAGUCAUCAUGCAAAUAGCCUCUUCAUCAACAUCUUUUUCUUCUCAUCAGAAAUAUGAU